GUACCCGCUGAACUUAAGCAUAUCAAUAAGCGGAGGAAAAGAAACCAACAGGGAUUGCCUCAGUAACGGCGAGUGAAGCGGCAACAGCUCAAAUUUGAAAUCUGGCCCCCAGGCCCGAGUUGUAAUUUGUAGAGGAUGAUUCUGGCGACGCGCCUUCCGAGUUCCCUGGAACGGGACGCCAUAGAGGGUGAGAGCCCCGUCCGGUCGUGCGCCUAGCCUCUGUGAAUCUCCUUCGACGAGUCGAGUAGUUUGGGAAUGCUGCUCUAAAUGGGAGGUAUACGUCUUCUAAAGCUAAAUACCGGCCAGAGACCGAUAGCGCACAAGUAGAGUGAUCGAAAGAUGAAAAGCACUUUGAAAAGAGGGUUAAAAAGUACGUGAAAUUGCUGAAAGGGAAGCGCUUAUGACCAGACUUGGGCGUGGUGAAUCAUCCGGCGUUCUCGCCGGUGCACUUUGCCUGUCCAGGCCAGCAUCAGUUCUCCCCGGGGGAUAAAGGCUUCGGGAAUGUAGCUCCUUCGGGAGUGUUAUAGACCGUUGCGUAAUACCCUGGGGGGGACUGAGGUACGCGUUCUGCAAGGAUGCUGGCGUAAUGGUCAUCAGUGACCCGUCUUGAAACACGGACC
rnacentral:rRNA from 1 species